rnacentral:rRNA from 1 species
CCUACGGGAGGCAGCAGUGGGGGAUAUUGCACAAUGGGGGAAACCCUGAUGCAGCGACGCCGCGUGUAGGAAGACGGUCCUCUGGAUUGUAAACUACUUUCCCCAGGGACGAAGAUGACGGUACCGGGGGAGGAAGCUCCGGCUAAAUCCGUGCCAGCAGCCGCGGUAAUACGUAGGGGGCGAGGGUUGUCCGGAAUUAGUGGGUGUAAAGGGAGCGUAGGCGGGGAUGCAAGUUGGGUGUUAAAUCUACCGGCUAAACUGGAAGUCGAAAGCAAAACUGCAGAUCUUGAGUAAAGUAGAGGCAGGCGGAAUUCCUAGUGUAGCGGUGAAAUGCGUAGAUAUUAGGAGGAACACCAGUGGCGAAGGCGGCCUGCUGGGCUUUUACUGACGCUGAGGCUCGAAAGUGUGGGGAGCAAACAGGAUUAGAUACCCCAGUAGUC